GCCCAGUAAGAUAUGCAAUUGAUGGAGGCAAUCCUCUUAUGCCACUUCCUGAUAGUCUCAAAAACCGUAGUGAUUCCAUCUCGACUUCUAUUUCCGGGAAACUCUCAAGGCUUUUGCAAUCACUAAGAUCAAGGUUUUUAAGAGAUUUCAUUCUAAGUGUUGCAAACCUUGUAAGAUUGAAGCAUCCACGAAGAUCCAAUAAUCGAAGCCCAGUAAGAUAUGCAAUUGAUGGAGGCAAUUCUCUUACGCCACUUCCUGAUAUGUUCAAACCCCAUAGUGAUUCCAUCUCGACUUCUAUUUCCGGGAAACUCUCAAGGCUUUUGCAAUUACUAAGAUCAAGGUUUUCAAGAGAUUUCAGUCUAAGUGUUGCAAACCUUGUAAGAUUGAAGCAUCCACGAAGAUCCAAUAAUCGAAGCCCAGUAAGAUAUGCAAUUGAUGGAGGCAAUCCUCUUAUGCCACUUCCUGAUAGUCUCAAAACCCGUAGUGAUUCCAUCUCGACUUCUAUUUCCGGGAAACUCUCAAGGCUUUUGCAAUUACUAAGAUCAAGGUUUUCAAGAGAUUUCAGUCUAAGUGUUGCAAACCUUGUAAGAUUGAAGCAUCCACGAAGAUCCAAUAAUCGAAGCCCAGUAAGAUAUGCAAUUGAUGGAGGCAAUCCUCUUAUGCCACUUCCUGAUAGUCUCAAAACCCGUAGUGAUUCCAUCUCGACUUCUAUUUCCGGGAAACUCUCAAGGCUUUUGCAAUUACUAAGAUCAAGGUUUUCAAGAGAUUUCAGUCUAAGUGUUGCAAACCUUGUAAGAUUGAAGAAUCCACUAAGAUUCAAUAAUCGAAGCCCAGUAAGAUAUGCAAUUGAUGGAGGCAAUCCUCUUAUGCCACUUCCUGAUAGUCUCAAAACCCGUAGUGAUUCCAUCUCGACUUCUAUUUCCGGGAAACUCUCAAGGCUUUUGCAAUUACUAAGAUCAAGUUCUUCAAGAGAUUUCAGUCUAAGUGUUGCAAACCUUGUAAGAUUGAAGCAUCCACGAAGAUCCAAUAAUCGAAGCCCAGUAAGAUAUGCAAUUGAUGGAGGCAAUCCUCUU
rnacentral:lncRNA from 1 species